UAGCAAUCAGCAAGACUCUGUGGGCGUAGGACCCUCCGAGCCAGGUGCCGGAUAUAAUCUCGUGGUGUGCCGUUUUUUAAGCCGGUCCGAAAAGCGCAAUAUUCGGGUGGGAGUGACCUGAUUUUCCAGAUAAUUGACAAUAGGCUCCCAUGGAAGUCUUCUGUGCAUUUCUGCAAAAAUUUAGGAAACAUUAGGUUUGACACCAUCAUCAUGUUUGCCAAGGCAGCAAAAAUCCCAGCCGGCAAAGCUUCAAGUGUGAUGAAGCGGAACAGCAAGGACAGCACGGAAUGACUGAUCAUUUCAGAAUGCCGUCUAGCGAGAGUUUCCAAUGUGGGAGUUUUCCAUUGUUUUGAAGCAGGAGAAAUAGGGACCGGCUGCUUUGGAAGAAACAUGCUGUAGGGGUCUGCCCCUACUACGAACUUAUGAGGGUUGAGGAGAAAUUACGUUUUUCCCCCAGCAAGUGUUCAAAUGAGAAAUGGUGAGGACAGCAGCAUUGGGUAAAGAGAGAGGGGCAGAUUUGAGAGGUAUCAAGAAGGAGGUGACUUCGUGGGUGGUUAACAGAGGAAAGUGGGCUGGGGAUUUGGCUAAGGGAACUGGCUCUCAUGUCCAGUAGUCAUUCGCCUCCCACAUCCUCCUGCCUGGCAG
rnacentral:lncRNA from 10 species